rnacentral:rRNA from 1 species
UACGAAGGGUGCAAGCGUUACUCGGAACUACUGGGCGUAAAGGGUGCGUAGGUGGUUUUUUAAGUCCGUUGUGAAAUCCCUGGGCUCAACCUGGGAAUGGCAGUGGAUACUGGAAAGCUAGAGUGCGGUAGAGGGUAGUGGAAUUCCCGGUGUAGCAGUGAAAUGCGUAGAUAUCAGGAGGAAUACCGAUGGCGAAGGCAGGUCUCUGGGCUGACACUGACGCUCAUGCACGAAAGCGUGGGGAGCAAACAGG